CCUGAACAGACCCCCGUUGUUGAUGACUUCCACCGUGGACGGCGGCGUCUUUAGCAAUGAAUCUCCGUUUUCUUCGAUUUUAAUCGUCGUUCCCGUCGAAAUCAAGAUGGUGGAGGAGCGUUACAUGGACGGUCAUCGAUUCAUCAAGAUUUGUCCUCGGAAGACGGAUGGCGAUUUAUUUGAGUCAUAGUUCUAUGGAGAAAAUCAGGCGAAUUGAAUCGGACCGGAUGGGUUGCUUUUGGGCAGUUUUUGCUUGCUUGGUAAACCAUUUUUCUGAACAACCCUCAGUUAUAGAUUUAGGUACUUCCCUAUACUGUUCUUUUGACAGAACCGCUUUAUCAUGUCUUCUUUCCUCUGAUAUCUGCUAUUACACAGUAUAAAAUUUUUUGUUUGCAAUGAUUGGGAUGGAAUCUUGAUAUGUCGACUCAUUUGAAAUCUCAAUUUAUUUUUGUGAAGAUUUCUUUAAGUGCAAUGUUUGCAAUGAUCGUUUCAAAUAAUUAAAUAACUUUUUCAUGCAGCUGAGUAUACAUAUGCAAAUAUUUUUUGUUUAUCAGCAGGAAAACUACCCAAAUGAAAGUUUUCUGAUUCAGGCAUCACAUGAAAUCGAAAAGAGAGAGAUGAAAGGAUCUAAACAUUUUGAAUCGUGACUUGUCCUUUUCUGAUUCAGGCAUGUAGUAGUACCAUAUCAUGGCUGUCUGUUUCCAGAACCACCGUGAUCUGAGAAUUCUUGGUGGCUCUGUGCCCAUCCACUGACCAUUGCUGGCUUGGAUGUGCCCCCCGAGCCAUGAUAGGUAUGUACGCCCUCGAUCAAGCUAUGUACAAAGUCUGCAACUUUUUUUGUUUUCAUGCUACCAUUUUAUCUUACAGGGCGUGGUCUCCUCUAUACCAUCUUAAGACAAAGAUGAAGCAUAAUUAAAGAUCUUUUGCAGCUUGACAGCAUUGUCUCUUUCUUUUUUUUCCUUAUUUCUCUUCUAGGAAGAAGUGAAUUUUCAAGUGCUGCAAAUCUGAAACAUCAUC